rnacentral:rRNA from 1 species
GUGGGGAAUAUUGGACAAUGGGCGAAAGCCUGAUCCAGCCAUGCCGCGUGUGUGAAGAAGGUCUUCGGAUUGUAAAGCACUUUAAGUUGGGAGGAAGGGCAGUAAGUUAAUACCUUGCUGUUUUGACGUUACCGACAGAAUAAGCACCGGCUAACUUCGUGCCAGCAGCCGCGGUAAUACGAAGGGUGCAAGCGUUAAUCGGAAUUACUGGGAGUAAAGCGCGGGUAGGGGGUUUUGUAAGUUGGAGGUGAAAUCCCCGGGCUCAACCUGGGAACUGCCUCCAAAACUGCAUGACUAGAGUACGGUAGAGGGUAGUGGAAUUUCCUGUGUAGCGGUGAAAUGCGUAGAUAUAGGAAGGAACACCAGUGGCGAAGGCGACUACCUGGACUGAUACUGACACUGAGGUGCGAAAGCGUGGGGAGCAAACAGGAUUAGAUACCCCUGUAGUCC